AGCAACCUACCCUAAAGACGAGGAUAACCAUUGGAAACAGUGGCUAAGACUGGAUAGGAAGAUAAAAGGCAUCUUGUAUCUUUUAAAAGACCUAGUUAAUAGGUAUGCUUUAGGAGGGGCUUGCGCCAUAUUAGUUAGUUGGUAGGGUAAUGGCCUACCAAGACGAUGAUGUGUAGCUGGACUGAGAGGUUGAACAGCCACAUUGGGACUGAGACACGGCCCAAACUCCUACGGGAGGCAGCAGUAGGGAAUUUUCGGCAAUGGAGGAAACUCUGACCGAGCAACGCCGCGUGAAUGACGAAGUACUUCGGUAUGUAAAGUUCUUUUAUCGAGGAAGAAAAGCAAAUGGCGAACCAUUUGUUUGCCGGUACUUGAUGAAUAAGCCCCGGCUAAUUAUGUGCCAGCAGCCGCGGUAAGACAUAAGGGGCAAGUGUUAUCCGGAAUUAUUGGGCGUAAAGGGUGCGUAGGCGGUCUAGUAAGUCAGUGGUGUAAUGGCAACGCUUAACGUUGUCCGGCUAUUGAAACUGCUAAACUUGAGUUAGAUAGAGGCGAGUGGAAUUCCAUGUGUAGCGGUAAAAUGCGUAAAUAUAUGGAGGAACACCAGAGGCGUAGGCGGCUCGCUGGGUCUUAACUGACGCUGAGGCACGAAAGCGUGGGGAGCAAACAGGAUUAGAUACCCUGGUAGUCCACGCCGUAAACGAUGAGUACUAAGUGUCGGGUUAAACCGGUACUGAAGUUAACACAUUAAGUACUCCGCCUGAGUAGUACGUACGCAAGUAUGAAACUUAAAGGAAUUGACGGGACUCCGCACAAGCGGUGGAUCAUGUUGUUUAAUUCGAAGAUACCCGAAAAACCUUACCAGGUCUUGACAUGUUUUUGCAAAAUGAUAGUAAUAUCGUGGAGGUUACCAGAAACACAGGUGGUGCAUGGUUGUCGUCAGCUCGUGUCGUGAGAUGUUAGGUUAAGUCCUAAAACGAGCGAAACCCUUAUCGUUAGUUGCCAGCACGUUAUGGUGGGGACUUUAACGAGACUGCCAAUGAUAAAUUGGAGGAAGGUGAGGAUCACGUCAAAUCAGCAUGCCCCUUAUGACCUGGGCUACAAACGUGAUACAAUGGCUGUUACAAAGGGUAGCUGAAACGCAAGUUCUUGGCCAAUCCCCAAUAACAGUCCCAGUCCGGAUUGAAGUCUGCAACUCGACUUCAUGAAGUUGGAAUCGCUAGUAAUCGCGAAUCAGCAUGUCGCGGUGAAUACGUUCUCGGGGUUUGUACACACCG
rnacentral:rRNA from 1 species